rnacentral:tRNA from 1 species
ACCCCCGAGAACCGCUCUCCUAAAGCGGGUGCCGCAGGUUCGAAUCCUGCCGGGGGCA